AACGAACGCUGGCGGCAUGCCUAACACAUGCAAGUCGAACGAGACCUUCGGGUCUAGUGGCGCACGGGUGCGUAACGCGUGGGAACCUGCCCUUAGGUUCGGAAUAACUCCCCGAAAGGGGUGCUAAUACCGGAUAAUGUCUUCGGACCAAAGAUUUAUCGCCUUUGGAUGGGCCCGCGUUGGAUUAGCUAGUUGGUAGGGUAAAAGCCUACCAAGGCGACGAUCCAUAGCUGGUCUGAGAGGAUGAUCAGCCACACUGGGACUGAGACACGGCCCAGACUCCUACGGGAGGCAGCAGUGGGGAAUAUUGGACGAUGGGCGAAAGCCUGAUCCAGCAAGGCCGCGGGAGUGAUGAAGGCCUUAGGGUUGUAAAGCUCUUUUACCCGGGAUGAUAAUGACAGUACCGGGAGAAUAAGCACCGGCUAACUCCGUG
rnacentral:rRNA from 1 species